rnacentral:tRNA from 1 species
AAAGAAUUAGGUUAAAAAAACCUUUAAUAUGUCAUUUUAAAUUUAUUAAUUUUAUUAAUAUUCUUUA